GUCAGUGGUGAACUGAGGUGGGCCGGUAUGAGGCUUGAAACUCCAGGGCUGAAAAAGAGUCCCACUCCGGCCCUGCCCAUGCCUACCACAGAUUGGCAGUGAGGGACUUAAGAUAUAUAUUGGGGCAAAUAAUUUCUAAUGGGGAACUGAGACAAAUUGAACAGCAAGCUGACACUAAUAGAUUUUCAUCAAGCACUCCUUUUGGCAAACGUACCAACUGCUUGAGGAGCAGUGAUUAGAAGAAAGUUUUCAGCACCAGCUGAGGCCAUACGUAAUAUAAAAUUUACCCCUAAGGCAAAUGAAAUACCGGCAGCUUAUGUGAUGUAGUGCAAACAGGAGUGGGAAGCCCAAACUGGGACACAUCCUCUUGCUAACCCCAUACAUAAAGGGGUGUUUAGAGCAGUCAUGGCUGAGAGUACGGAAAGCUGCGUCAAAGCAGCUCUUAAAGAAAAGCCAGAUAUACCAGGAAGUGCUCCUGCCACCUGGGAGAGACAUUUGACACAUCGUAUGAACAGGGCUAAAGACAAAGCUGACGAGAGUCUGAAAUCAAGGAAGAAAAAACUAUUAUUAAAAUUAUGAACAAAGCUAGAUAGGAUGUCAAUGGUCAGAACUAAAAAAAGUCAACAAUUGGUUCUGUCACUUAAGCCUGAACAACCCUACAUGGCACCCGUGUACAACCCAAUACCUUAAUGCCAACAUUAAUUUAGAGGACAGAGUAGGGGAGACAUGAGAGUUCAAUGGGGUCCCAGGGCUGACAGGGGGCGGGAGCGUUGAGAGGGUUACUUCUUGUGUGGGUUACCCAACCAUCAAGCAUGUGACUGUCAAAGAUGCUACACGUGCAAUCAAGGGGAACACAUUUCAACUAACUGUCCCCAAAGCCAGAACCAACAAGCCCACAGAGGGGGUAUGCAAGGAGGCCGAGGCUUCAUGGCAUCACACACAGAGACAGAAGCAGGGCUAGGGAGGAGCCACUGCUAUCGAUGGAUUUUAACGAACACCAUCUGAACUUUUUGGUUGACACUCGGGCCACAUACUCAAUGUUGGUCACCAAAGUCGACCAGGACUUAAUUUCACAAAAAAAAAAAAAAAAAAAAAAAAACUGUGGAGGUGAUGGUUUUCUCUGAGAAAUGUGAAUGUGAAAGACUGCCUUUAACUGAGUCUAUAUCAGUGUCUGUGGCUGGACAACAACUGAAACACAGAUUUCUGUUAUCAGACAGAGCCCUAUGGACUUAUCGGGCAGAGACUUGUGGAUAAAAGUGGGUGCAUCAAUUCUGUGCUGUGCUGAUGGUGUCAUUGUAAGAUUUCCCACAGGCCUCACCAAGAACUGUUCAUUAAACACACCUGGCAUGGAAGGACAGUGGCUACUGUCAUCUGCAUAAGAACCUGAGGAAGCUGACAAAUACUGGAGCAAACUGUAACCAGAUACCCCACAAGGAGAGGGCCAGCUCUCGCUCUAUGCCUUAUGGAAAUCUUGGGUAACCCUUAUUGCACCAUACAUGCCUUUCAGCGACCUAACACACAUGACUUUAUUCUAUGACAGAAACCAAACUGGAAGACUAUGAUUGGCAAAUUGGGUGAAAGGGAAUUUGGGUUAAAAAAAAAAAAAAAGGAGUAGUAGGGGCAAUUUACUUGGCUAAAGAACAUAGAUAGUAGUAUAUGAUGGGUCCAGAAGCAGAACCACAUGUCAAAUUGACCAUACAUCCAGAGCACCAAGCUAAGGAUUUAGGGCCAAUGAUAAAAGGAUUGUCUAAAUUGACAGAUUAGGUUGCCACCAAAUUACCAAACGUAUUUUUUCCACCAUCAGAUAAAACAUAUCUAAUUGAUACGUCUACAGUAGAUAGCAUGAUCAUGAAACACGUAUUGGUCACGAGGUGGCAUGGAAAGGGACAGAACAGAUCAUGAGCUGACAGUACCAAUGUUAAACCGUUUACCAAGCCAAUUAUGGUCCACGGGACCAACAGAUGUGGAUUUUUGUUCCUUGGCGUCAGACAAUUGAAUUGACUGAAAAUAGGCUGAUUGGACAGCCACACUAUUCUUACAAGCCACAAGGUGAGACAGUCAUUGCAGACACAAUAGAAGAAUUGAUAACAGUAGGUGUGUUAGAGCCAUCAAACUCACGACAGAAUUUUACUCCAAAUUUAUCUGUAGAAAAACAAAAUACAGGAAACUACAGGAUGGCUCAUGGAAAAAAAGGUUAACACUAUAGUGCAGACAGCCACAUUGCCAAUGCCGAAAUCCAUACACUGCACUAUAAGCAUUGAGUCCAGAACAUGAGUGGUUCACCUGUAUAGAUUUAGCUAAUUCAUUUUUCUGUUUACCACUGGCACCAAAAUUGAGGGACAUAUUUUCAUUUACCUUUAGGGGGCAGCAAUACAGGUACACAAGGGUACCUCUAAGUUUCAUAUUGUCUCCAGGGUAGUUCAAUCACACCCUGAGAGCUCUACUGAGCGAUUGACCUUUGCCAGAGAGAGUGGUGUUGAUCCAAUAUUUGGAUGACAAUUUACUAGCUGCAAAAACAGAUGAUACCAGUUUGAAUGUGACUAAGCAGGAGUAAUUAUAAAUAUUUCAAAGUAAGUAAAUCAAAAUUACAAUUGUGUAGGCCACAGGUCACAUUGAUGGGACGAGUAGUGUCUGGACUGAGCAUGGGAAUAUCGCCAAACCACCGAUCAGUUAUUUUGAAGAACAAAAAAUGAUGACUAUAAAAGAUAUGCUGUCAUUUUUGGGCCUGGCUGGGUUCAGUAGACACCUCAUACCACAAUUCAUUGAUAGAACAACACCAUUAAGACAACUAGUGUAGGAAAAGGGAGCUGGACAGUUGAAUGCUACACUAGAUUGGACAACAGAAACAGAGAAGCAGUUCAGCAGCCAGUGCAGUUGAUUUGGCUAAUCUUGAUUAUAGGCUUCCUUUCUAUUAAGAUGUGUCAGAAACAGAAAAGACAGUGGAAAAGUAUUGUUUCAGUAAAAAAAGGGAAAAGAUGGUUUUGAUGCAUCUUAGCUUUUUAAUGCACAAGGCAGAACAAUGCCAGCUUCCAUCUACAAGAUUUGCAGCAAAGUUAGAAAAGAUAAUUCAGAAAACAGCACAUCUGAUCAUGGGACAUGAAGUCAAAAUAUAGACAUCACACUCAGAGAUGGCAUACGUAAAUUCUUUUGCAGUAACAAUGUAAUCGCUAAGACAGAAUAGAUUGUUAAAAAGGUUGAGUGCACCAACAAACCUAAUUUUCACACAUGAAGGCAUCAACAUGGCUGACUAUAUGGUUGAGAGAGAGAGACACACAAUUGCGAAGAGUUAAUCUUGGGGGAUAGUAAGCUGAGACCAGAUUUAAGAGCAGUAGCAUUGACAGGUGAGGUAGAAACUUGCAAACGGAUGAGUAUUGUUAUAGGGAUUCUGAAGUAGAAUUGAAAGUAGUCUAUGCAGUCGAUAAGAAGACAGAGAAAUACUUUGAGGUGGUAAUAGCUGAGAAAAUGGAGUCAGGACAGUUAGCACACAUCUGAAAUCAGUGGAGCAAGCAUUAGGCCUAAAACAUUUAUUUGGGACUGUGUACCACCCACAAUCUCAGGGAAAAGUUGAGAGACUUAUUUAAAAUUUGAAAACAAAAACCUGCGAAGACCAAAUUAAAUUAGGUCAUCAGUAUCCAGAACCAGGAGCAGCCUUGACGUGCACUGACAGUGCACCGCUGAUGAACAAGCCAUAUUAUGACAAAUUAACAGCUUUACUCUCAGAUUUUUCUGAACAGAUUUUUGUGAAAUGCCUGGAGGGGGCCUAAGAAAAAGUGGUCCCUACAUCUGAAUAGGUGUUGCUGAAGGUAUUCAAGUGAAAGUGGGAGGAGCCAAGGUGGUUUGGUCUAUAAAGAGUGACAGAGAACAUCACACAGACUGAGGUUACAGGUUAAAGGUGAUACAUGAUAGUAAUGGAGUGUUUAUGUUUUAAACAGAUUCACCAAACUGGCAGCUGAGGAGUACAAAUGGCGGCCAUGAGUAAAAUCAAGGCCGAGAGGGGGAGUGCGUAGCAAAGAACAACAUAAACAAAUGAUUGACCCGCUGCCCUCAUGCCAAGAGGGGACGUCUGACUAAAUAGGGAGUGCAAGCAUGUAUUAGGGUAGGAGCUAAACACGCAGUAACCUCAAUACAUGGGAGCAACCUGAUAGUAGUGCAGGCCUACGGAUGACAACGAGGAAGUGUGCUAUCACAAAAGAGGGACAAAGAACAGUGUUCUGUUUGAUCACUAAAGAAAUAGUCACUGAUUUACCAACAGAUGACAAUUUGACCAGAACGUUUGAGGUUUUGAUUUUCAUGUUAAUCAAUGUCUUGAUUCUAACCAUAAUGCUACAGUUUUUAAUUUCAUUGUUAAAAGUUUGGACCUUAGAUCUCAAUGAUAUAAUGGUACUUUUGAAUUUUUCAUUGGAGCAUAUUUUUUACGGGUUUGGAUUCCCUUUUUGAUUGUAAUCAAAUUUCUAAAGUUUGAAAAUUUUAAUUUGAAUUAUAUUGAUAACUAAUAAUAACUGAAUAAUAUAAAUAAAUAAUCAUACCUCUUAUGAUAAAGUGCAGAAGGUAGGAAAAUGAAAUUGUGAAAUAAUUGGAAGUUAAUGGAAGUGUUUGGCAAAACAAGCCUGAAUAUAGUGGGCAUAAUUUUUAUGAUAAGAAAUGAUUAGAAUGAAGCCAUGGAGUAGAGAGACUCCACCACUCAAGAAGAGAACUAGGGGUGAACAGAUUGUUGAGUGAAUCCAACAGAUAGGGAAUUGAGUUAAAAGGGUUUAUGGGCAUUUUCUAAUAUAAUGAAAGAGUACAAUGUAAACAACAAGGUGUAAGCAACCAUUUUGGAAAAAUGGGUAAAGGAUUGUAUUCGGCAAAUAUUUGUAAUAAUGUUAAUUGAUUUUUAUUUUUUUUCUUUACGUUUAGAUUUUGGUUAUCUGUGGUUGUGAGCUCCUUUAGAGGAGCUCAAAAGAGGGAUUUUGUAAUUUUGGAAAUUUAUUACUUAUUAAUUGUAGCUCUUUCAUUUCUUUCUAUGAAUGUAGCUGUGUUAUGCCAAUGUAUGUUAUAUAGUUGUGUCAUGUUUAUGUAUGUAAUUUAGCUGUGUCAUGUUCAUGUAUGUACGUCAAGAGGGGCCAGGGUCUGUGGUGCCAAGGCCAGAUAAUACAGAACGUAAAGGACCACACCCAGCCAAUUCCUAGAACACCAGUUGUUUACACAUGUAUAUAAAAGUGGUUGGAAGGAAAGAGUUGUUGUUGAAGAUGGCCUGAACAUACGUGAGGGACACCUCCAACCCGGAGCUCUGUAUCUAUUGAAUUAUUCAAUUGUAUUCAUUAAAUGGCUAAUACUUUUGCAUUGAAGAAAA